GUCCACGCCGUAAACGAUGAGAACUAAGUGUUGGCCAUAAGGUCAGUGCUGCAGUUAACGCAUUAAGUUCUCCGCCUGAGUAGUACGUGCGCAAGCAUGAAACUCAAAGGAAUUGACGGGACCCCCGCACAAGCGGUGGAUCAUGUUGUUUAAUUCGAAGAUACACGAAAACCUUACCAGGUCUUGACAUACUCUGCAAAGGCUUAGAAAUAAGUUCGGAGGUUAACAGAUGUACAGGUGGUGCACGGUUGUCGU
rnacentral:rRNA from 1 species